rnacentral:rRNA from 1 species
GUGCCAGCAGCCGCGGUAAUACAGAGGGGGCAAGCGUUGUUCGGAAUUACUGGGCGUAAAGGGCGCGUAGGCGGCCCUCUAAGUCGAACGUGAAAUCCCUGGGCUCAACCCAGGAACUGCGUCCGAGACUGGGGGGCUAGAAGCAGGGAGAGGGAUGUGGAAUUCCAGGUGUAGCGGUGAAAUGCGUAGAUAUCUGGAGGAACAUCGGUGGCGAAGGCGGCAUCCUGGACCUGUAUUGACGCUGAGGCGCGAAAGCCAGGGGAGCAAACGGGAUUAGAUACCCCGGUAGUCCUGGCCCUAAACGAUGAAUGCUUGGUGUGGCGGGUAUCGAUCCCUGCCGUGCCGAAGCUAACGCAUUAAGCAUUCCGCCUGGGGAGUACGGUCGCAAGGCUGAAACUUAAAUGAAUUGACGGGG